UUACCGUGGCAACGAUGAAUAGCAGGCCUGAGAGGGUGGCCUGCCACACUGGGACUGGAACACGGCCCAGACUCCUACGGGAGGCAGCAGUGGGGAAUAUUGCGCAAUGGACGAAAGUCUGACGCAGCGACGCCGCGUGGAGGAUGAAGGUUUUCGGAUCGUAAACUCCUGUCAAGAGGGAAGAAACCUGUUGAAACUAAUACUUUCAGCAAUUGACGGUACCUCUAGAGGAAGCACCGGCUAAUUCAGUGCCAGCAGCCGCGGUAAUACUGAAGGUGCAAGCGUUAAUCGGAAUCACUGGGCGUAAAGCGCUCGUAGGUGGCUUUGUAAGUCAGGUGUGAAAGCCCACGGCUCAACCGUGGAAUUGCACUUGAUACUGCAUCGCUAGAGUAUAGGAGAGGGAAGUGGAAUUUCUGGUGUAGGAGUGAAAUCCGUAGAGAUCAGAAGGAACACCCGUGGCGAAGGCGACUUCCUGGACUAUUACUGACACUGAGGAGCGAAAGCGUGGGGAGCAAACAGGAUUAGAUACCCUGGUAGUCCACGCCGUAAACGAUGGGUACUAGGUGUUGGGGGCUUG
rnacentral:rRNA from 1 species